UACGUAGGCAGCAAGCGUUGUUCGGAAUUACUGGGCGUAAAGAGUGUGUAGGCGGUUUGUCAAGUUGGGAGUGAAAUCUCUGGGCUCAACCCAGAGGCUGCUUCCAAAACUGCCGUGCUUGAGUGUGGGAGAGGCGCGUGGAAUUGCAGGUGCAGCGGUGAAAUGCGUAGAUAUCUGCAGGAACACCCGUGGCGAAAGCGGCGCGCUGGACCACUACUGACGCUGAGGAACGAAAGCUAGGGGAGCAAACAGG
rnacentral:rRNA from 1 species